rnacentral:rRNA from 1 species
GGCGGACGGGUGAGUAAUACGUGGGAACAUGCCUUUCAGUACGGAACAACGCUUGGAAACGAGUGCUAAUACCGUAUACGCCCUUAGGGGGAAAGAUUUAUCGCUGAAAGAUUGGCCCGCGCUAGAUUAGCUAGUUGGUAAGGUAACGGCUUACCAAGGCGACGAUCUAUAGCUGGUUUGAGAGGAUGAUCAGCCACACUGGGACUGAGACACGGCCCAGACUCCUACGGGAGGCAGCAGUGGGGAAUAUUGGACAAUGGGGGCAACCCUGAUCCAGCGAUGCCGCGUGAGUGAUGAAGGCCUUAGGGUUGUAAAACUCUUUCAGGGGUGAAGAUAAUGACGGUAACCCCAGGAGAAGCUCCGGCUAACUCCGUGCCAGCAGCCGCGGUAAUACGGAGGGAGCUAGCGUUGUUCGGAAUUACUGGGCGUAAAGCGCGCGUAGGCGGCUUGGCAAGUAGAGGGUGAAAUCCCGGAGCUUAACUCCGGAACUGCCUCCUAAACUGCUGAGCUAGAAUCCUGGAGAGGUGAGUGGAAUUCCUAGUGUAGAGGUGAAAUUCGUAGAUAUUAGGAAGAACACCAGUGGCGAAGGCGACUCACUGGACAGGUAUUGACGCUGAGGUGCGAAAGCGUGGGGAGCGAACAGGAUUAGAUACCCUGGUAGUCCACGCCGUAAACGAUGGGUGCUAGGUGUUGGGUAGCUUGCUAUUCAGUGCCCGAAGCUAACGCGUUAAGCAC